AACGCACAUUGCGCCCCCUGGCAUUCCGGGGGGCAUGCCUGUCCGAGCGUCAUUGCUGCCCAUCAAGCCCGGCUUGUGUGUUGGGUCGUCGUCCCCCCCGGGGGACGGGCCCGAAAGGCAGCGGCGGCACCGUGUCCGGUCCUCGAGCGUAUGGGGCUUGUACACCCGCUCGACUACGGCCGGCCGAGGGCCAGCGGACGUCUCCGACCAUUUUUCUUCAGGUUGACCUCGGAUCGGGUAGGGAUACCCGCUGAACUUAA
rnacentral:misc_RNA from 1 species